UGGAGGGGUAACGGCCCACCAAGGCGACGAUCAGUAGCCGGCCUGAGAGGGUGAACGGCCACAUUGGGACUGAGACACGGCCCAGACUCCUACGGGAGGCAGCAGUGGGGAAUAUUGCACAAUGGGGGAAACCCUGAUGCAGCGACGCCGCGUGAAGGAAGAAGUAUCUCGGUAUGUAAACUUCUAUCAGCAGGGAAGAAAAUGACGGUACCUGACUAAGAAGCCCCGGCUAACUAC
rnacentral:rRNA from 1 species